UACAGAGGUCUCAAGCGUUGUUUGGAUUCAUUGGGCGUAAAGGGUGCGUAGGCGGCGCGGUAAGUCGGGUGUGAAAUCUCGGAGCUUAACUCCGAAACUGCAUUCGAUACUGCCGUGCUUGAGGACUGGAGAGGAGACUGGAAUUUACGGUGUAGCGGUGAAAUGCGUAGAUAUCGUAAGGAAGACCAGUGGCGAAGGCGGGUCUCUGGACAGUUCCUGACACUGAGACACGAAGGCCAGGGGAGCAAACGGG
rnacentral:rRNA from 1 species